GUGCUUACUUCAGGAGCACUUAUACUCUAAUUGGAAUGCCGCAGAGAAAAUUAGCAUGAUUGCUGUGCAAGGAUGACAUGCAAAAUUCAUGAAGCGUUCCAUAUUUAU
ensembl:snRNA U6 U6 spliceosomal RNA